rnacentral:hammerhead_ribozyme from 1 species
AUACUGAUGAAGAGUUCCAACUAGGACGAAACAGCUGUCCAGUAC